UAAGCGGAGGAAAAGAAACCAACAGGGAUUGCCCUAGUAACGGCGAGCGAAGCGGCAACAGCUCAAAUUUGAAAUCUGGCUAUUUUGUAGUCCGAGUUGUAAUUUGUAGAGGAUGCUUUUGGUGAGGUGCCUUCCGAGUUCCCUGGAACGGGACGCCAGAGAGGGUGAGAGCCCCGUACGGUUGGAUACCAAACCUUUGUAUAGCUCCUUCGACGAGUCGAGUAGUUUGGGAAUGCUGCUCUAAAUGGGAGGUAUAUCUCUUCUAAAGCUAAAUAUAGGCUAGAGACCGAUAGCGCACAAGUAGAGUGAUCGAAAGAUGAAAAGCACUUUGAAAAGAGAGUUAAACAGCACGUGAAAUUGUUGAAAGGGAAGCGCCUAUGACCAGACUUGUUUCUUUCAGUUUUGUUAGUUUUCGGACUGAUUUACUCUGUUAGUACAGGCCAGCAUCAGUUUGUUGUCAGGGAGAAAGGCUUAGGGAAUGUGGCUCUUUCGGGAGUGUUAUAGCCCUUUGCAUAAUACCUUUCGGCAGACUGAGGACCGCGCUUCGGCAAGGAUGCUGGCGUAAUGGUCAUCAGCGACCCGUCUUGAAACACGGACCAAGGAGUCAACCUUAUGUGCGAGUGUUUGGGUGUAAAACCCCAGCGCGUAAUGAACGUGAACGUAGGUGAGAGCUUCGGCGCAUCAUCGACCGAUUCUGAUGUUCUCGGAUGGAUUUGAGUAAGAGCACACAGGGUUGGACCCGAAAGAAGGUGAACUAUGCUUGUAUAGGGUGAAGCCAGAGGAAACUCUGGUGGAGGCUCGCAGCGGUUCUGACGUGCAAAUCGAUCGUCAAAUAUGAGCAUGGGGGCGAAAG
rnacentral:rRNA from 1 species